AAGUCGAGCGAACAGAUAAGGAGCUUGCUCCUUUGACGUUAGCGGCGGACGGGUGAGUAACACGUGGGUAACCUACCUAUAAGACUGGGAUAACUUCGGGAAACCGGAGCUAAUACCGGAUAACAUUUGGAACCGCAUGGUUCUAAAGUGAAAGAUGGUUUUGCUAUCACUUAUAGAUGGACCCGCGCCGUAUUAGCUAGUUGGUAAGGUAACGGCUUACCAAGGCGACGAUACGUAGCCGACCUGAGAGGGUGAUCGGCCACACUGGAACUGAGACACGGUCCAGACUCCUACGGGAGGCAGCAGUAGGGAAUCUUCCGCAAUGGGCGAAAGCCUGACGGAGCAACGCCGCGUGAGUGAUGAAGGGUUUCGGCUCGUAAAACUCUGUUAUUAGGGAAGAACAAACGUGUAAGUAACUGUGCAUGUCUUGACGGUACCUAAUCAGAAAGCCACGGCUAACUACGUGCCAGCAGCCGCGGUAAUACGUAGGUGGCAAGCGUUAUCCGGAAUUAUUGGGCGUAAAGCGCGCGUAGGCGGUUUCUUAAGUCUGAUGUGAAAACCCACGGCUCAACCGUGGAGGGUCAUUGGAAACUGGGAAACUUGAGUGCAGAAGAGGAAAGUGGAAUUCCAUGUGUAGCGGUGAAAUGCGCAGAGAUAUGGAGGAACACCAGUGGCGAAGGCGACUUUCUGGUCUGUAACUGACGCUGAUGUGCGAAAGC
rnacentral:rRNA from 1 species